AAUCCAUGCAUCAGAGAUUUCCUAAUUAAUUCCUUAAAUCGCUCCUAAGCUUCAUAUAGCGUCUAAUCUUCAAGUUGUCGAAAAGAUGUAAUAUCAUUUCUAAACUU
rfam:Gossypium raimondii chromosome 4, whole genome shotgun sequence.